rfam:Triticum urartu cultivar G1812 contig1437561, whole genome shotgun sequence.
CAAAUACUUCCUUUGUUCGAAAAUAUUUGUCAUCAAAAUGGACAAAAAAGAAUGUAUCUAAAACUAAAAUACAUCUAAAUACAUUUCCUUUUAUCCAUUUUGAUGACAAGUAUUUUCGGACGGAGGUACCUC